AGCUUGGGUAAUGUGAGCAACUUGGUUCUUUUUAAAAAAUCUAUGCAGAUAGUUCAGUGUAAUUAGGGUUGGGAGAGUCUCUUUCUACUGUGCACCCUAUGCAAACAUUCCAGAUUGUUUUUGGAAAGAAACUGAAAUCUCAGAUAAAGUUGGUAGAAUUGUUGUGCUAAAGCUCAACAUUGUUUUACCUGCCCCCCCCCUGAGCUGGUGGUAAUUUUGCCAGUGUAUUCAUUCAGAGUGGGGUGGGGCCAUUGCUGGGCAGGUUUGGGAAUUGCACUGGGAGUAUAUUUGCUUUGAUGCUCUGAGCAGGACUCUUUUACAACCAGACCUUGAAACUGUGAGAAAGACAGCUGUGUGGCCGAGGUGGUUCAUCAAGGAAAACACCAGUCACUGAGCUAUAUACAGGUAUGACCCUAGAAAUGUUACUGUCCAGCUGAUCAUGUCUGCCAAUAAUCUGGAGAACUGAAUCAAGUGCCUCAUUAUUCUUGUAUCUUAAGGCAGGACAGCUAGGGGGGAGGGAAGCAUUUGGUUGUGAAAGGAUUUAAACUUUCUGCUCCUGCAUCUUCAGCAGUCUGACAUAGGAAAAAUUCCAGUUCAUGUGCUACAGCUCCCUCAGAGAACAGAGCUGGAGGUGGAAACUGAAGUCUGAAGAAAGCACAGGCCAUGCCAGACUCUUCCAGAGCACAUGCUGAACUUAGCCUACUGAAGACUGUGGAAUAACAUCAAGUUUCUUUCUCAGAGGAAAGGUGUAGAAGGAAGACAGAGGAGCCCAAGGAAAUUAAGCCUCUUAAAUUGAGUGUGUAAAUGCCAAACCUGAGCUUUGGAUGUCACUGUUCAUGCUGAUGAUUUGAUGAGGAGAGAGUAUUUUUCUGGUCAACUCCAAUAUUGAGAAAAGAGUAUGAAGGUUUUUAGCUCUUACUGGAGCUAAUUUUUCUAGCUUCUCCUAAACAAUUUCCUAGAACUAUUUAAUGCCACAUUUUCAUAGAUUUGGUGAUUUUUCCACAGGGUGCAGACAUGAAUAAGUUAAUUUAAUGAAGAUGUAGAUUUUAGUUUUUCCUUUAUCCCCUUACAUGCAAAGUCACAUGUAUUUACUGCUAUGGGCAGGUCAGAAGCAGACAAAAAUGUUCUCAUUUGUAAAAGUUCAUUGAAGGCUUACCUAACAUAAAGUCCCACUUCUGAGCUGAAGCUGAACUAUAUUUGCCAUCAUGCAGAAAAAGGUAAGUUUAAAUGGGGUAGCUGAGAUGAGUUUAAACCUGACUUAGCUAGAAAACAGUUCCUUUUUGGUAUUUUCUCACAGUCUCCAUCCUUUUUCUGUUCCUGCCCAUCCAGGGAAAACUUCCUAUGAUGAAAAAAAAAAAAAAUCUUUAAAAAUAAGGGAUAAGAUGCACUUCAGAAAACCCAUUUAACUGCUGGGUUUGUUCUUUCCUGCUCAAUUGGCUGCCCUGUUGGCUGUUCUGGGACAGGCAGGUGGCACUUGCCCUGGUUUUGACUAAAAAUUUCCAUUUGGGUCAAAGAAACCUUUCUGAUGAAAACUUAGGUGAAAUCAGGAUGUCUCAGCAAAGCUUUGCUUUCUAUAAAAUUGAAAUUUCUAUAAAAUUGCUAUCAAAGGUUGUUUUUCUAAUGAAUUCCCAGUCAGACCCUGCUUCUGUUACCUUUUCUGUGGUGGUGGUUUGGUCGCCAUGGGAAGGGUGUCCCUUCAUAGAAGAUGAUAUUAUGGCUUACCAAAAAAAUUAUCUUGUCCAAGAGUCAUGUUUUGCCUGAAUUUAUUGCAGUUUUGUUGGAGAAUGAAGCACAGAGGGGCUCUUCUCAUUGUUGGUAGGGAAGGGAGUAUGUGAGGACCUAUGCACCGCUGCAGCACAGGGUCAACCGGCCGUGGGACCAGAGGCUACAGAAGCAGGUGGGAUGACAGGGUUUUUCUGGCCUCUGCUGUCUCACAAAAGCUUCACUCAGCAAGGAAGCGUGGGGUGGAAGAAAAUGUCACACUGGGCUUCAUCCUGCACCCACCAAAGUCUGCUAUUGUGUUGAGUAAGAGCAGGAUCCAUACGCAAAGGGAUCUGUCACGGCUUAAAUGUCACCAGUCGUGUGGGAGCACUUCUCUCCAGCCAGCCCUUCUGAGGGAUCAUUGUGGGCAAUGAAAGGGCAGGAAAGACUUUUCCAGAGUGUGUGGGUGGGGGAAAAGCAACCCUUCAUGCUGGGAACUCAUCCGAUGUGCGGGUAACUCUGGAAUGUCCUUUCCAUGCAGUAGAGGGUUAGGCUGAGUGAGCUCUGCAGGUGGAAGGAGAUCAGCUGUGCUCAGCAGGCCUGCUCCCCAGGCUCAAAGAAGGCUGCAGCAGAGCAGGGUUGCCUCAUUCUCACCAUUAUGGAUGAACCACUCAAUACCUGCCACCUGCUUUCUGCAGGUAAUUAUUUAACAGGACGAAUAAUAAAAACUGAGAGAAUAAUCUGAAAGAAGGCCUGAGCUGCGUUCAAUUUGCAGUGCCAAUGAAAUAACUGUUUGUAAACAGGUACCCAGGAAUACUUGUAUUUUUUCUAAGUGCCUUUGGCCGCUGCUGUUCCUGCCAGUGCUUAAAAGCUCAGCUGCCUGGCUGGACCCAAGCUUGUAGGUACUGUGGAGACAUCGGCAUUAGAAGUUCACAUUUCCCAGGCUUCACCAUAAAAACAGACUUUCUGUCUCCUCAUUUCCACCAGAGCUCAUUCAGGAAACACAAUCUCCUUUUAAGUGCAUGAUCUUAAGCUUUGUAUAAUGAAAUAUCUUUAGGGUAUUUCUCCAGUAAUCGGCUCCUAUGAGACAUUCUGCUGCUCUUCCCAGCUGUGUGUCAUCAGCAAAUUUCAUUAAUGUGCUCCUUCUUCUUGUGUAAAUGUUGCUGGCUGGUGGGAUAUAUUUAGUUAAGACUGGCUAAGAGUGAUGCUUGAGAAACUGCCUGUAACCUUCCUCUACUCCGACAGUUCCCCUUUCAGCACCUAUUGUCUCUGCUUCAGCCAGAUCCUUUUGCUAAUAAUUCCCUGCGUGGCACCAUUUCAACUGCUUUGCUGAAAUCCAGUUAGAUGAGGUCCACCAAAACCAAUUACUAUGAAUUAAAGCAUUGCUUGAGCAAUGCUAAGAGUCUGCAAUAAAUUAUGUGCAAAACUGAUGGCCUAUUUCAUCAUGCUCAAUUUCAUCUUUAUUUUAACAUUCAUCAGAAAUAAAUACUUCAGUUAAGAUUAGAGCUUUGGGGCAUAGCUUUUAAUGUAAUGUUAUCAAAAUAAUUGAGGGUCUUAUGGGACAAAAUCUCAAAAUUAUCCUGGUUUCAAGCUUAGGAAAAAAUGGUGUAUAUUCAUUUCUGUUAUAAUCCAGAACAUAAACACUGUUUAUGUUCUCUUUUUCAUAUAGUUAAUUUAUCAGCUAAGCUGAUAAACCACAGAUAAAGCCUAAGGACACAAAUGUGGUGGUUUUUUUUAAUUCUCUAUAUCUCCCUUAUUUGCAUUGUUACUGCUCUGAGCAGACGCGAGAUCUUUAGCAUCAUGAUGAUAAAACAGCUCAUUCUUUGAUGUCAGAUAAGAUGAAAUUUAGAUGUCAUUCUGAAGCCAAGAAUCAUAAAAUCUGCUGUCAUAAUAUCUUCCUCUACACUUGAAAGGGCUAUGAGACAUCUGGAAAUGGAAGAAUCUUUUCUUUUACCCCAUUAAAAGUAUUGUU